rnacentral:rRNA from 1 species
CUCCUGGAAACGGGUGGUAAUGCCGGAUGUUCCACAUGAGCGCAUGCGAGUGUGGGAAAGGCUUUUUGCGGCAUGGGAUGGGGUCGCGUCCUAUCAGCUUGUUGGUGGGGUAACGGCCUACCAAGGCGUUGACGGGUAGCCGGCCUGAGAGGGCGACCGGCCACAUUGGGACUGAGAUACGGCCCAGACUCCUACGGGAGGCAGCAGUGGGGAAUAUUGCACAAUGGGCGCAAGCCUGAUGCAGCGACGCCGCGUGCGGGAUGGAGGCCUUCGGGUUGUAAACCGCUUUUGUUCAAGGGCAAGGCACGGUUUCGGCCGUGUUGAGUGGAUUGUUCGAAUAAGCACCGGCUAACUACGUGCCAGCAGCCGCGGUAAUACGUAGGGUGCAAGCGUUAUCCGGAUUUAUUGGGCGUAAAGGGCUCGUAGGCGGUUCGUCGCGUCCGGUGUGAAAGUCCAUCGCUUAACGGUGGAUCCGCGCCGGGUACGGGCGGGCUUGAGUGCGGUAGGGGAGACUGGAAUUCCCGGUGUAACGGUGGAAUGUGUAAAUAUCGGGAAGAACACC